GACGUAGGGCGCGAGCGUUGUCCGGAUUUAUUGGGCGUAAAGAGCUCGUAGGCGGCUUGUCGCGUCGAAUGUGAAAUCCUGCGGCUCAACUGCAGGCUUGCAUUCGAUACGGGCAGGCUCGAGUUCGGUAGGGGAGACUGGAAUUCCUGGUGUAGCGGUGAAAUGCGCAGAUAUCAGGAAGAACACCCGUGGCUAAGGCGGCUCUCUAGUACGGUACUGACGCUGAGACGCGAAAGCGUGGGGAGCGAACAGG
rnacentral:rRNA from 1 species